CUAUGUUGGACUCUGGGCAUUUCUGACUCUGACUAAUGACUAUGCCAGUUGGGACCUCUGCUGAAGAGAAGAAGCCCCUCCUAGAGACUCACUUUGGGAUUAUGGACUUGGUGCUCCCCAAAUAUGGCUACCAGGUAAAAGAAGAAUGUGAACUUUAAAAGAAAUUCAGUGGGGGAAUCCUGGCAUUUUUAUUCCAAAAGCUAGAUGCCAGAUGCCUGAAGAACGACCGACAGAGAUUGUUAUUGGUCAUCACUGGUCAUGGCUUAAAUGUGCAAAAAAUGUAAUAUCAUGAGGGAAAGAGGAGCAGGUGAGAAACUGAAAACACUAGAAGAGCAUUUCAUGGUUAUAGGAAGAUGUGAUUUAUGGAUAUAAAGUUCCUGAAAAUAAAUGUUUAUUACCUGGAUUCAAAUACACAACAAA
rnacentral:lncRNA from 1 species